GCCAGGCGCGGUGGCGUGCGCCUGUAGUCCCAGCUACUCGGGAGGCUGAGGCCGGAGGAUCGCUUGAGUCCAGGUGUUCUGGGCUGUAAUGGGCUAUGCCAAUUGGGUGUCCGCACUAAAUUCAGCAUCAAUAUGGUGACCUCCCGGGAGUGGGGCACCACUAGGUUGCCUAAGGAGGAGUGAACCAGCCCAGGUCGGAAACGGAGCAGGUCAAAACUCCCGUGCUGAUCAAUAAUGACUAAAUCCCUGUCAUCCACUUAACAUGAUGGUUAUAAUCAAUUAUCUU
ensembl:misc_RNA Metazoa_SRP Metazoan signal recognition particle RNA